UCGUGAGCAUGGCGUGGAGGACGAGGUCGAGCGUUCUUGUCGAUGGCGACGAGGUGGAAGACGCUGGAGGUCGUUGGCAUUCAAGCCUUCGCUGGAUCCUAAUCCAACGGACGGCGGUGUCGCAGUGGACGACGGGGUGGCGCACGUUUUCACGACGGCAGUAUUGGUAGAGGGCGGUGAAUAGGGUGUAAGCUCGCCUGGAAUUGCAGCGGACAGAGCGUCUCUUGGGCCAUACCUUGAGUUUUCAACGGGAAUUUUGGGCCUUGAACCUUCCUCCUGCCUUUCUCUUUGGCGUCAGAGUUUCCACGAUCUUGGCCCUUUGCUAAAUUCACCGUUGUUUGAGUAGGGCCUGGUGUAAGCAUGAUGUCCCACUGAACAACGAAAAAGGAGGUUUGUUUACUAUCUAGCAGAGCAAAUAUGACAAAAAGGAGUGAUGGAGAAUAUCUUACUUCAGCUCUUCUUGAUUCAUCUCUCAAGAAAUCAAAUAGAGUCAUUGUAGGAACAGGCAGCCAUGUCGACAGAACUGCACAGAUGAUCAGUCCUGGAGGCUCACCAGGAUCAUUCAUAUUCUUCCUUGAUGUGAAUCGAAUUUCAUCUCCACUCUUUGUCGAUACCUUGGUCCAUGUGCGGUGUCCUGAUGCACCGAUGUUCUGGCAAAAGAUUGAAGUCAUUCUUUGUCCAAGCUUCAGGAUGCUCUUUCUUCCAGCCAGUGUGGAGACUCCUGAGAAUCUCAUGCGAGUUUCUCUAUCUCAGAUUUCAGUAGAGAGUUCUCAUGCCGCUCCUGCACCGCCUGUGGGGAACUUACAGUUUCAUGAUAGUUCAAUGUUCAAAAGAUGCGAGAGCAAAUGAAACUGGCUAGUUCUUUGAAUGGGUACCUUGAUCUGGGUUCGUCGAUUUUGAAACCAGAACUUGACCUGCCUGGCAGAAAGGCCUAGCUGCUUGCUCAACUGCUGCCUCUGCUUCUCGUCUGGAUGGGGUGACUCCUUGAACAACCUGUGUUGUCCAUUCCUUAUAUUAGAUUUGAUUGGUUAACUACACUUAAUGGUAGUCAUCAUUAGUUUUUUAUUUGGUACAUGUUCCUGUUUACCCAGUAUGAUUUUAUCACAGAAAGGAACAGAUCAGUUCCUAGAUAAUGGUUUUUCUUGAACUGCACAAAGCUCCUGCUACCUGGUAUCCUUUUGAUGAUCGACUACACUCUCUAUGAUUAUGUGCUUUAUUCUGAUUUAGAGUUUAAGGAACAUGAGUGGGUCGUGGUCUGGGCAAUUCUUUUUCUGAAAUCAAAUGACCGGUUUUACACUACUUAGAAUAAUAUCUUUAAAAUUCACAAUAUGAAGCUUUAGACAUGGCAAAAA